CCCGUGACUGAAUGAUGAAAUAAAUGUUGGUAGGGACAUCUGAGUCAAUGUGAAGAAAUGCCAACAUUUCUGACCUCAUGGG
ensembl:snoRNA